GAUGAACGCUGGCGGCGUGCCUAAUACAUGCAAGUCGAGCGAACAGAUAAGGAGCUUGCUCCUUUGACGUUAGCGGCGGACGGGUGAGUAACACGUGGGUAACCUACCUAUAAGACUGGAAUAACUCCGGGAAACCGGGGCUAAUGCCGGAUAACAUUUAGAACCGCAUGGUUCUAAAGUGAAAGAUGGUUUUGCUAUCACUUCUAGAUGGACCCGCGCCGUAUUAGCUAGUUGGUAAGGUAACGGCUUACCAAGGCAACGAUACGUAGCCGACCUGAGAGGGGGAUCGGCCACACUGGAACUGAGACACGGUCCAGGCUCCUACGGGAGGCAGCAGUAGGGAAUCUUCCGCAAUGGGCGAAAGCCUGACGGAGCAACGCCGCGUGAGUGAUGAAGGUCUUCGGAUCGUAAAACUCUGUUAUUAGGGAAGAACAAAUGUGUAAGUAACUGUGCACGUCUUGACGGUACCUAAUCAGAAAGCCACGGCUAACUACGUG
rnacentral:rRNA from 1 species